AGUGAACGCUGGCGGUAGGCCUAACACAUGCAAGUCGAACGGCAGCACAGUAAGAGCUUGCUCUUACGGGUGGCGAGUGGCGGACGGGUGAGGAAUACAUCGUAAUCUACUUUUUCGUGGGGGAUAACGUAGGGAAACUUACGCUAAUACCGCAUACGACCUACGGGUGAAAGCAGGGGAUCUUCGGACCUUGCGCGAUUGAAUGAGCCGAUGUCGGAUUAGCUAGUUGGCGGGGUAAAGGCCCACCAAGGCGACGAUCCGUAGCUGGUCUGAGAGGAUGAUCAGCCACACGGGAUCUGAGACACGGCCCAGACUCCUACGGGAGGAAGCAGUCGGGAAUAUUGGACGAUGGGCGCAAGCCUGAUCCAGCCAUACCGCGUGGGUGAUGAAGGCCUUCGGGUUGUAAAGCCCUUUUGUUGGGAAAGAAAAGCAGCAGGUUAAUACCCCGCUGUUCUGACGGUACCCAAAGAAUAAGCACCGGCUAACUUCGUG
rnacentral:rRNA from 1 species